GACAGAGCCUCAAGCGUUAGGCGGAAUCACUGGGCUUAAAGCGUGUGUAGGCGGAUCGUUAAGUGCCUUGUGAAAUCCCGACGGCUUAACUGUGGAACGGCUGGGCAUACUGGCGGUCUUGAGCCAUCUAGGGGCGACUGGAACAAACGGUGGAGCGGUGAAAUGCGUAGAUAAUCGUUUGGAACGCCAAUGGUGAAAACAGGUCGCUGGGG
rnacentral:rRNA from 1 species